rnacentral:lncRNA from 1 species
UGCCAUCAAUGCACAACCAACUCGUAGUCAAUAAAUCAUAUAUCUUGGUUUGAAGACUAUAUGGUAUUAUCAUCUCACAAUCACACGUGAUAAAUUCCAUGAAGUGAUUCAGGUGAGCGCUGGUUGUGUUGGGUUUUGUACACUACAACAUAUUAUGGUGCACAUACAAUCCGACAUACUAUGGGUUUUGAGCAAUCUAACACUUCCUAAGUGUGCAUGCAACCCUAAUAAACCUUGGAUCUAUGUUUGUCUUGAUACAUGCAAAAUAAUAAUUUUCCAAGGUUCAUAACCUAUCUAACAUGGCAUGGGGAACAUUUCUACAUAAAAGAGUUAGAAGAGAUUACAUACCUUUCUUUGAUGAGUUUGAUUCUUAAGGAGUUUGAGGGCCAAGCACCAAUAGUGUGGAUGCCUCAAAUGGAAUCACAAAUCACCACAAACACUUGGAAAACUUGAGAGAGUGUAUACACACACUAAUUUUCGGCCACACACAAGCACACACACUAGUUCACUAGUUGCCAUUUCAUGCACCAUAAGCAUGCUUAUAUAGUGUACAUGGUUAGGGUGAAACCCUAAUAACCCAUGACCUUUCCUUUUCCAAGGAUCCAUGGGUUAAAAGCUCCAUGGAUCAUCCAUGGACUUCCAUCCAAGCCUAGCCCAUUAACAAAUGAGUGUUAGCCCACACCAUAUAAAACCAAUAGCCCAUAAUCUAAUUAGUCUUCCUUUUAAUCUCUAAAUUAAUUCAUAAUUAAUUUAAGACUAAGACUAAUUAAAUAACAUAACCUCAUAUUAAUAUAUUAUAACUUAUAAUAUAUUAAUAAACAUAUGUGUAUAACUCUCAUAAAAUUAUCCAUAAAUUGUUCGGGUGAAAUGCAACCCAAAUGGACCAUGCCGGGUCGGGUCAAGUAUAUACCAAAUAAGUUAUGGACUUAGACACCUUAUCCAACAGACUCCCACUUGGAUAAGUCUAAUAACUGUAUUUGCCUAUAUAACUUCAGGAACCAACCAGCAAUCGUAGCUCUCGAAAACUCUGUUGAACUACGAAGCGCCAUUUUAAGAUAAGUGAUCAUUUAAUCCUCUGUUCUCAUGAUAUCAACCGGAAAAACACAUGGAACUAUGUCUUGCUUAUUUUCUGGCAGUUGUUUCUCGAUUUCCGAUUUGUUUGACAAAGAACUUUACUGAACACAACAGUUUAGUUCUGACCGGGCCCGGUACAUGGGUCAACACAAAAUCAUCGAGGGGCCCAGAUAUCGCUUCUAUUUCUAGAAGGAACAGAUAAACUUCGACUCAUAUGCUUGUUCUACUACUUGUUGAAUUGUACACAAAGGCACGUUUUAUAACAUCAAGUUACUGAUGCGUUUACGUGCAAUCAAUGCACAACCAACUCAUAGGUAACAACUCAUAUCUCUAGGUUUGAAGAUUUAUAUGAUAUUACCGUCUCACGAUCACUCGAGAUAAAUUCCAUGAAGUGAUACAAGUGAGCGUGGGUUUAUUCCAAUACUCAUAACUUAUGAGCACUCAUGNCGAAGGUUGCAACAACCAUUGCCAUGUCUAAACACCUUUAGCCAUCUACAAACCCAAUUCAUGACAAUCUUGAUUCAUACCUACUUCCGACGUAUGACCGAUUGUGGAGGUUUGAAUAAAAUAAUUAUUCUGAAAGGCAAAACAUGCAAAACUGAAACAAUAGUAAAUAAUUGACAAUGAUAGUAACACUUUACUCAUAAAUAAAUCACAAAUUUUAUUCAUCAUCAAACGUCGAUUACAUUUUACAAGUUUCAGGAAAACUAUCUAAUCUGUAAAACUAAUAUCGUCCCUCAGCCCGAUGCGCCUCGCAUGCUGAAAAUGCUUAACCCUUGUCAGUCCCUUCGUAAGGGUAUCUGCAGGAUUCUCAUCCGACGAUAUCCUCCUUGUCACGAGGAGUCCUUCUUCAAUCUUAUGUCUUAUGAAGUGAUAUUUUCCAGUCAAUGUGUCAGGAUCUGCCAUGAUCUCUUGGUUCCUUGGCUAAGGCAACCGCACUAUUGUUGUCACAGAAAAUCUCCAUAGGUUCCUUAAUAGCUGGUACAACUCCAAGGUCUCCGAUGAAGUUCUUUAGCCAUAUCGCCUCCUUCGCUGCUUCACUCGCUGCUAUAUACUCUGAUUCACAAGUCGAAUCAGCCACCGUCUCCUGCUUGGAACUCUUCCAAGAAAUUGCCCCUCCAUUUAAGGUAAAGAUCCAGCCCGACUGAGAGCGGAAAUUAUCCCUAUCAGUCUGAAAACCAGCAUCACUAUACCCUAAUAUUCUCAAGUCAUCACUGCCACCAAGGGUAAGGACCCAAUCCUUAGUCCUCCGCAGGUACUUGAGAAUGUUCUUUACCGCGGUCCAAUGAGCCUUGCCAGGGUUCCCCUGAUACCUGCUGACCAUGCUCAAAGCAAAUGCCACAUCAGGACGGGUACAAGUCAUAGCAUACAUGAUCGAGCCAACUGCGGAAGCAUAUGGUAAUUGGCUCAUCUCAGCUAUCUCAGCCUCUGUACUCGGACUCUGAGUCUUACUCAGUUUGGUAUUGCUUUGGAUCGGUAAAUCUCCUUUCUUGGAAUUCUCCAUGUUGAACCUUUUCAACACCUUAUCCAAGUAGAUACUCUGACUAAGUCCAAUUAGUCUUCUACUCCUUUCUCUUAAUAUCCUUAUCCCUAGGAUAUAGGUAGCCUCCCCUAGGUCCUUCAUAGCAAAGCACUUCCCAAGCCAGGACUUAACCUCCUGCAAGGUUGGGAUGUCAUUUCCUAUGAGUAGUAUGUCAUCCACAUACAGUACCAAGAAGCUAACUAUACUCCCACUAGCUCUGACAUACACGCAAGACUCAUCUUCGCUUCUCAAGAAGCCAAACUCUUUUACCUUCUCAUCAAAACAAAGAUUCCAGCUACGAGAUGCUUGUUUUAAUCCAUAAAUGGAUUUCUUAAGCUUGCAUACUCUAUUAGGGUACUCUGCAUUGACAAAACCCUCUGGCUGAUUCAUGUACACAUCCUCAGCCAACUUUCCAUUAAGGAAAGCGGUUUUGACAUCCAUUUGCCAUAUUUCAUAAUCAUGAAAUGCUGCAAUGGCUAACAUAACCCUAAUAGACUUAAUCUUGGCCACCGGCGAGAAGGUUUCAUCAUAAUCAAUACCUUGAGUUUGAGUAAAACCCUUCGCAACCAGUCGAGCCUUAUAAGUAUGCACUUUUCCUUCCAUGUCGGUCUUCUUUUUGAAGAUCCAUUUGCACCCGACUGUUUUACGGCCUGGUACAUUGUCAACCAAGUUCCAAACUUGAUUGUCAUACAUGGACUGUAUCUCGCUGUCCAUAGCCUCCUUCCAUUUAGCAGACUCCGGGCCUGCCAUGGCUUCCUUAACACUGCUAGGUUCAUCCAAAUUUACUAGUGUACUAUCACUAAUAAACGUAUCACCUUCCGUAGUAAUAUGAAAACCAUAAUAAAACGAAGGUGUGUUCCUAACCCGUGUGGAACGUCUCGGAGGUACAGACUCGUCAGCUGGAUCAACAGGAGUUUCUUCCUCAGGUUGAUUGCUAGUGUCUGAGGUUCCUUCACCAAUUGAUUCUUGAAUUUCUUCAAGAUCAAUCUGCCUCCCACUGUCUCCUUGGCUUAUAAAUUCUUUCUCGCGAAAGAUCCCUCUUCGUGCUACAAAGACCACAUUCUCACUGGGUCUGUAGAAAAGGUAACCGAAGGAUUUCUGUGGGUAGCCGAUGAAAAUACACCUUUCACUUCGGGGUUCAAGCUUAUCAUGAGUUUCACGCCUCACGAAGGCUUCGCAACCCCAAAUUUUGAUGUGGUCCAAAUUGGGAACCUUCCCAGUCCACAUCUCAUGAGGUGUUUUGGUAACCUUCUUUGUAGGGACUAGAUUAAGGAUAUGGGCGGCAGUCUCUAAGGCAUACCCCCAAAAAGAGAUUGGUAACGAAACUCGACUCAUCAUAGAGCGAACCAUGUCCAACAAGGUACGAUUACGCCUCUCAGCUACACCAUUCAGCUGUGGUGUCCUGGGAGGAGUCAAUUGUGAGACAAUCCCACACUCCUUAAGAUAGUCAAGGAACUCGGUACUAAGAUACUCACCACCUCGAUCGGAUCGAAGCAUCUUAAUGUUCCUGCCCAAUUGAUUUUCUACUUCCUGUUUGAAUUCCUUAAACCUUUCAAAGGUUUCGGACUUGUGUUUGAUCAAGUAGACAUACCCAUAUCUACUAUAAUCAUCAAUAAAAGUCACAUAAUACCGAUUAGCGUCCCUUGUGGCGGUUUUGAAUGGCCCACAUACAUCAGUAUGUAUUAGGUCCAACAAACCUUCACCCCUCUCACAAGUUCCAGUGAAGGGUGAUUUUGUCAUUUUUCCAAGUAGACAAGAUUCACAACUAUCAUCUGAUUUGAGGUCAAAUGAUUCCAAGACUCCACUCUUUUGGAGUUGGUCUAUGCGUUUCUUGUUUACAUGUCCAAGACGACAAUGCCACAAUGAUGCUUUAUCUAGGCUAGUAGAAGAAUCAAUAUACAACACAUUAUUUCCUAAGUUGUCUACAAUCGACACAGUUUCAUACACGCCAUCACAAGGUAAUGCUUUAAAAUAAAACACAUUAUUAAAGAAAGCAUUAAUACCACCACAUUCAUUAUCAAACGAAAAGGUAAAACCUUGUUUGUACAAAGCAUGAAAAGAAAUAAUAUUCCUCGCCAUUUCAGACGAGUAUACACAUUUAUUCAAAUCUAAUUUUAACCCAUUAUUAAGCAACAAAGUAUAAACUCCAAUCUUGGAAACAGGUGAAGCCUUCCUAUUCCCCAUGAUUAAGUUUAUCUUCCCGUGCUCCACAUCCUCACUUCUUCUUAGGCCCUGCAAAUCAGAACAUAUGUGAAUACCACAUCCUGUAUCAAGCACCCAAGAGUUAGAAUAUGUUGAGUAAUUAGACAAUAUAGUGUAAAUACCUGCAUAGGUGGGUUUCACUUUCCCAUCCUUUAGAUCCUGCAAGUACUUAGGGCAGUUUCGCUUCCAGUGUGCCUUUUCAUGGCAAUAAAAGCAUUCAGCAUCCUUUGGAAUGGCAGAAGGAGUGACAGAACCGUUCUUAGUCUUGGAUGAGGAGCCUUCAAGAGACUUUCCCUUGGUACCCUUCGAAGGGUGCUUCCUCUUUUUCCCUUUGCCUUGCCCAAUAGCUAAAACAGGGGUAGAAGUUGGAGUAGGAGUAGUAGAGGUAACAACCGCUUUACCCUUAAGACCGGUUUCAGCGGUCUUCAAGAGUCCUUGAAGCUUGCUGAGGGUAACUUCCUCCUUGUUCAUAUGAUAUGUCAUUCGAAAAUGAUCAUAACAAGAAGGCAAGGAGUGCAAAAUGAUGUCAAUUGCUAACUCCUCGGGGAUGUUAACAUUCAGCUUCAGCAAACGGUCCACAUACCUUUGCAUCUUUUGCAUGUGGCCCGUGACGGAUUCACCGUCCUUCAUGCGGGUAGUUAUUAUGGAGGAGAUUAUUUCAUACCGCUCCUGACGAGCACUCUGAUGGUACCUUUCCAUCAAGUCUUGGUGCAUCUCAAAAGGGUAGAAAUCUUCAUAUGACUUUUGGAGCUCGGCUGUCAUCGUGGCCAUCAUGAUACAUGCCACCUUAGUAGCAUCUCUCUCAUGAGUCCUGAAUUCAGCGAUCUCCUCAGGAGUAGCAGUAGACUCAUCAAGUUCUUUUAACUCCUUAUCGAGGACAUAUUCCUUGUCCUCGUAACGAGUAACCAUCCUGAUGUUCCUAAUCCAAUCCAUGAAGUUGGAACCAUCAAAGAUGACCCUCCCACAAAGAUUCAUGAGAGAGAAAGAACCAGUUGGGUUAGAGCCUGAAGCAUUAGUGUUGGAAGACAUCUGAAAGAAGAAAGUAAGUUUAGAUUAGAUAUUUAGGAUCCUUAAUAAGACACCCAAAUGUAAUAUUAAGGCUAGGAUCCAAUCACAAUAUAUUACACUUAGAAGAGGGAUGCCGUAAUCUAAGUAAUAAUAUAUUUGAAAGGUAGGCGAAUGACGAUUCACCAAUUUCCACCAUGAAAACGAAAUGAUUAAUUAGGUUUAAUUGGAUUUGAAAUUCCUAGAUUCUUUUGAGAUUCAUUGAACUUUUCAAUGGCAUGUUUCAAUCUCGAUUGUGCCCUUCAAGUUUUGUGACUGGGAUGCCGAGGAUCACAAAACAAGGUGUGAAUAACCAUGCUAACUCACUUGGUACUCCUAAUAUUAUCACCUAAUCAAUGUGCCGGUUAACCACACACGCUCCAUUGAUCUAUGACAACAUUAAGUUACCCUUCGUGAUCCUUACUAGUCUAAUUAGUGUGCCGGUUAACCACACACGCUCCACUAACGACUUGGUAAGGUACAAAGUGUGAAUUCCAUGGAUUAGCACCAUGUUCACAUUUUCCUAAAAUAACUAAGAUUGGGAAUUAAAAGAGUUUAGUUAUUUUAUAAUAUUCAUUAUACUUUUAAUGAGGAUUUAAAGUCGUUGUUCUACCCGUUCGGCUAACGACCCUCCACCGAUCAAGCAAGCGGUGGGUGAGAGUAUACACCCAUUAAGUCGCCAUUUUAUAGGCAACAACCUUAUACCCACCUUAUAGACCGGCUUCGUGAAUGAGGCCUACUAACGGUAAAACGACUUAUUCUUAUACAUAUAUAUAAUAAUUAACCAUUAAUGUUAUAAAUAGUAUAAGGGUUGAAUUUUAACUAUUAAAACUCUAAGGUUUGGAAUUAAAGUUUAUUAAAGUGUGUGAAACUUUACAAAUUCCAAAACUUGAGGACAAGUUUUGUAACUUUGCAAAACUCUUCAUUUCAUAACUUAUGAAUUAAAGGUUCAUAAAAAUGAAGACUCUUCAUUUUCAUGUAACUUAUGUGUUUUAAGUGUGUGUUAAAUGAAAGUGACCUUUGGUAAUCCAUAACUUGAGGACAAAUUAUGGACUCCAUUAAAACACAUAAAUGAUUAAGAAUUAAUUCUAAACAAUUCAGCAAAUAAUUCCUAUCAUUUUCUAAAUUCAUAAGAACAUGAACAUGAUCAUCAAAAAUUCAAGAAUUAUAUGAACACAUAAAAUCAUGGAUUUUUGAUAUAUGCUAUUGUAAAUGGAUUAGAACAACCAUUACACCAACUAAAAUAAGUUUUACAACACCAAAACAAUUUAGGGUAAUGUUUCCAGUCCAUUUCCAGCAGCAAAAGUCGAGAUUCUGCAUUCUUUCGAUCCUACUCGCCGAGUGCACGAACGGACUCGUCGAGUAGGUUGAAGUUUGCCUUGGACUCGGCGAGUCCCCCCAAUGGACUCGGCGAGUCUAGCAUGCAGACAGCAACAAUUUCGACUUUUUUCACUAUUUUGCAUCAAGUAUCAAACAAGCAAGCCUAGGCUCUGAUACCACUGUUGGGUUUUGAGCAAUCUAACACUUCCUAAGUGUGCAUGCAACCCUAAUAAACCUUGGAUCUAUGUUUGUCUAAAUACAUGCAAAAUAAUAAUUUUCCAAGGUUUAUAACCUAUCUAACAUGGCAUGGGGAACAUUUCAACAUAAAAGAGUUAGAAGAGAUUACAUACCUUUCUUUGAUGAGUUUGAUUCUUAAGGAGUUUGAGGGCCAAGCACCAAUAGUGUGAAUGCC